UGUUCAUUCCUUUGGUCACAAUUCUGGCUUUAUAUAUAUAUACCUAUGUUACAUCGAGUGUUUCUUCUUUUCACUGUUUGUUGACGAUAUAAAUAACUGUUGACUUGAAUGUAAACUAUUCACUUUAUGCUGAUGAUGAUGAAGUUAAAAUAUCCCAGACAAUUGCUACAGCUGAAGAGUGCAUUAAACUCCAGUUCAGACUUAAUAAAUUUACAAGAUGGUGCGAUCGGAAUAAGCAAGUAUUAAACAAGGACAAGUGUCAUAUGCAAAAUAUAUUAACCAGACCCGAACAUUGGUAUUCUUUUUUAUUGAAGACACAGUUAAACGGAAAGAAUUUAAUGAAAGCAGUAAAUAAUUCUGUGUUCAACUGCUAACACAUUCUUUUUAAAUAAUCAAAAGGUCAAAAACUAAACACUCUUAAAUGUUUCUAAUACCGAAGGAAUACCCCACAAAGUAGACAAUAUAACAAGUGGGCUGAAACAAAAACCGCUGCAUAGAAAAUGUUUCAAAUACCCAGACGGAAGUCACAUCAACAAGAAAAUGUCAUUGAAUUGGCUCAAAAGUCAAGCUUGUAUGCCGAACCAGAAGGGUUUGCUAUUCAAGCCCAAGUAAACUUUUUUUUAUUAAAGAACCAGCAACCCUGCAUAACAAGGCUAGGGAUUUUCUGUGAUGACAACAGAAUAAUGGACGUUAAUCUCCAUGGUUAUCCUCAUAACGUCAUACGUCAUGUUGGUUUUCAAGUUUUCAGUGCUUGAAAAAUAACUCCAAUGGAAGAAGAUAAGAACGAGAUGAGAUAUGGUGCACAAAGUUCUCUGAACAGAUAAUGUAACUAUUUAUACGUUUUCUAAGUGAUCCAGGAUUUCAAUAGAGAGGUGGAAAUGAAGACGGGAUCCAUCGAAUAACGACAUCUAAGGCAAUAACAUAGGUUUUAUAUAAUAAA